rnacentral:rRNA from 1 species
UUCCCAUAGCGCAAGCUAGUAAGAACCCUGAAAGAUGAUCAGGUUGAUAGGUCAGAGGUGGAAGCGUGGUAACAUGUGGAGCUGACUGAUACUAAUCGUUCGAGGACUUAACCAA